CAGCCGCCACGGUAAUACGUAGGUGGCAAGCGUUGUCCGGAAUUAUUGGGCGUAAAGCGCGCGCAGGCGGCCUAUCCAGUCUGUCUUAAAAGUUCGGGGCUCAACCCCGUGAUGGGAUGGAAACUAGUAGGCUAGAGUAUCGGAGAGGAAAGCGGAAUUCCUAGUGUAGCGGUGAAAUGCGUAGAUAUUAGGAAGAACACCAGUGGCGAAGGCGGCUUUCUGGACGAAAACUGACGCUGAGGCGCGAAAGCCAGGGGAGCGAACGGGAUUAGAUACCCCAGUAGUCCCUGUCUCUUAUACA
rnacentral:rRNA from 1 species